AUUGUGGUGUACAACAUAUCGGAAAAUGCUACACAACAGCAGGUUGAAGAUGCAACAUGGGCAAUAAGAGCUCUUCAUGCUGAGAUGGAGAACUACAAGUCUCGGAAAAUGUUCAUCUUAGUCUCGAGCGUGAUGACCUGGGCCAUGACCAAACCACAGAAUCCGGAAGAGACAGAUGUUCUGCUGACAGAGGAAGAGUUCAGAAGAAGACGACCACACCCCAAUUUUAGAAACCAC